rnacentral:rRNA from 1 species
UACGAAGGGUGCAAACGUUGCUCGGAAUUAUUGGGCGUAAAGCGCACGUAGGCGGCUCAACAAGUCGGAUGUGAAAUCCCUCGGCUCAACCAAGGAAGUGCAUCCGAAACUGUAGAGCUUGAGGACUGGAGAGGAGACUGGAAUUCAUGGUGUAGCAGUGAAAUGCGUAGAGAUCAUGAGGAAGACCAGUGGCGAAGGCGGGUCUCUGGACAGUUCCUGACACUGAGGCACGAAGGCCAGGGGAGCAAACGGG